GACCACAGGCUCGGUAUGAGUCCUGUGACAGUGGACUGAUUUUUGACUACUCUGUUCACUUCUAAUCUGGUACUGAGUUGUAAAAUUUGAAAGUGCGUGUCAAUGGCUAAUGCGACUUUUUUAAAAGUAAUAAGCUUUAAAAAUAAUAUUCUUCACAAACUGAUGCUGUGGAGAACAUUAGAUGAUUUCUACUAUUGGCGCCUCAUAACUUCAAUUUUUAACAGGCUAUUUAAUUCUAAUUAAAAUCUUAAAAUUAGCAUAAAUCCUUCCUUCUCUCUCCUUUUCCUGUUCUUCCCGUCCCACCUUCUCAAUCCCUUUCCUCCUUCUUUCCUUUAACACGUGUUAAGUAUUUUCUAUGCCACUGGUCCUUGAGAACAAAAGGAAUAAAGCAUCAUAGGAUGGUCAGUGUUCAGGUGUAAACCCUUGGAUGAAGAAGCGAGUUGGAUGAAAUGACAGAUACACAGGGAGUUUUAGCUUUUGGUUACUACCCCGGCCCCCACUUUUUUGUUUGUUUGUUUUUGCUUUUUAGGGCUGCACCUGCGGCAUAUGGAGGUUCCCAGGCUAAGGGUCCAGUAGGAGCUACAACUGCCGGCCUACGCCACAGCCACAGCUACGAAGGAUCCGAAUCACGUCUGCAACCUACACCACAGCUCACGGCCAUGCCAGAGCCUUAACCCACUGAGCGGGGCCAGGGAUCGAACCCGCAACCUUAUGGUUCCUAGUCGCAUUCGUUUCCACUGCGCCACAACAGGAACUCCUGGUUACUCCCUUGAAAGAGGCCAUCUAAUUCAGUGCCUAAGGCUCAAUGAGGUUUCUUCCAAAAUGCAGCAAAUGUAGCAUUUUUUGAGGCAAAAUGUCUAGUUCUUUACUUUAAAACUGUUGAAAUUAUUGCAGAUAAACUCUCUCCAGGGUUAUAUGCCAAUUGCUUUGAGAAGAUGAAAACUUCCAGCUGGUUCCUCCUGCUCUCCGUUCUCUUUAUGGAGUCGCCUGACCUUCAGGCUGCACUUUCUUAUUCCUUUUGUCACCAGGAGGAAAGGGCCGAUGGCAGUAUUAGCUUUGCCGGUUGCUGAGUGGAUGGGAAGUGACGGGGGACGUCUUCGUCUUCUGCUCACACCAGCGCAGUCUUAGCAUUUUGUGGAGGUGGCCGUGGGGAGGGAGUGUCUACCCCUGUCAGCUGACAACUGCUGUUUUUCCAAGUACAGAGAGUGGUAUGGAAAUAAUUUCCUCUGGAGGCCAAGGCACAACAGCUUCUCUGCAAAGCAGCAAACCUGAUCUGGUAAUUUGUAUAUCAUUUUAACAGUCCAGACAGUUUUUUACAGUAUUUCAGGAAGUUAUGUUGCUGCUGAUUUUUAGCCUUCUUCAUCCUCUUUUUCCUUUCCUUUCCUUCCUUUCUUUUGAGAAUUUUUCAAGUUCUGAUGCCAACUGUAUUUGUUUUCCCCUUUAUUUAAAAAUAGCAUUAUUGACAUAUAAUCCACGCACCAUACAAUUCAUCCAUUUAAAAUAUAUAUCACAGAGUUGUGUAACCAGCACCACAGUCAAUUUUAGGACAUUUUUAUUCCCUCAAAAAUAAACCCCGUACCCAUUAACACACCUUCCCACCACUUAUCCCCAAUCCCCAUCCAUGGCCCUCAGCAGCUGCUAGUCUACUUUCUGUCUCUAUGGAUUUGCCUGUUUUAGAAAUUUAAUAUAAGUGGAAUCAUAUAUCCAUUCUUUUAGAUGAUCUAAUAUGUGCUCUUUUAUGAUGGGCAUCUUUUUUUUUUAGCAUAAUGUUUUUAAAGUCCGUCCAUCCAUACUGAAGCAUGAAUCAGUACUCCCUUUUUUUAUGGCUGAAUAAUAUGUCCUCGUAUAGACAUACCACAUUUUCAUUCUCUCAUUUUCUUGAGGCAUAAAAGUUUUAGCUCAUCUGUUGGCUUAUAGGUAUUUUAAGGGAAGGGAUCUUGCUUCCCUACUAGGCUUGUGUUUCCACAACAUAUAGCACCUGCAACAUAGUACAAAUUCAGUAGUGCUGAGUUGAUGCUACCAAAGUAAAUAUGGGAAAAAAAUGAGUUUGGCCUUUGAGUUUUGACAGAGUGAAGGUUAUAAAGGAAAGAUGUGACGGGAACAAUGAGAGAAGUUAUUUGACAUAAUAGAUUGAAUGAGUAUGAAAUCAAAAAGGGAUAAGAUAAAGAAGAGAGGCAAAGCCCUGUAGUGGGACAUAGGAGAAUUUGGAAAGAAGACUCAGAGAGUGGAAACGCACAUACAGGCAGUUUGCGUUAAAGCCAAAAUUUUAGAGUAUUCAUUACACCUGAUGUUGAAAUUUUUGGCAGAGACAACUGCCAAAAUUUUGGGAUUUUUUAUGUUUAGUUUAUAGAUAUCAUGAAAUUGUUGAAAUUAGAAAUAUGAAACUAGUUCAUUCAUGAAUAAUUGAAAUUAUGACUUGUCACCACCUUCAUCACCACCACCAUCGCUGUCAUGGAUGUUACCACCAGCACUAUUGUCAUCAUGAAUGUUUGUUGAAUGCAUAUUAAAAUGUAUUGAACAUAGCCAUUUGCUGGGCUUCAGGACAUUGUGCAAAAGCGUUUUGCAUGGGUUAUUAUAUUAGUUUUUCUUAACAAAUUUUAUGAGGUAGGACCUACUAAUAUCCCCAGUUUUAUAUAUGACAAAAGUGAAAUUGGAAUUUGAACUAGAUUUGACUGACUCUGAUAUCCAUACAUUUUUCUAUAGCAAUUUCUAGCUGCAGCUUCUAAACUUUUAGUCUAAUUUCUGCCUCAGUCCCUUUUGACUUUAUGAUGAUUUCAUAGUUCCGGUGGCUUAAAUGGUUGUUAGCAAAUACUCAUACCCUCCCGUCCACCCUGCAAUUUGGCACGUGCUUCCCACUGACUUUAGCCCAAUGGAAUAUUAAGGCACACGAACUCAGCAGAAGCCUUAAAUGUGCUUGCACUCUUCAGUGGGCCUUUCCUGCACCACUGAUCCACCACAUAAAAAGGAUGUUCAGAUAGACACUGCCCUUUCAGUCUAGGGCCCAGAAUGAAUAUGUAUGGAGCAGACUUGGCCCAAAUUGUCUGGCACCAAGUCCAACUGACCCUCAACCUGAAACCCAUUGGAAUCUGCUUUACUAUGCAAAUCUAAGAGCAUGAGAAUCAAUGUUUGACAUGGCAAGCAACUGGGUUGGGGUGGUUUAGUUAUACUGACUCAUUGCGGCAAUAUUGACUAUUAAUAAUAGUAUCUAUUUGUUCUUUCAUUCAUUUAGUAAUUAAUUCAACCAAGGCUGCUUUGAUUGUCUACCACAUGCCAGUCACUGUAGCAGGUAUUGGGCUUAUGAAGAUGGAUCCAGGAUAGUCUUGUCUUGCAUUUGGUGUCCCCUUAGUCAGGAAAGACAACAUGUCCAUACAUUAUUAGAAGACAAGAUAAAAGCUGGUUAGUGCCCUAGCAGAUGGCUGAAUCUAUGCUCUGGGAGUUCUUAGGAGAGGAUAUUACAACUGAUUGGAAGUAUCAGCAAGGCUGAGGGGCUAUGAGAAUGCAAGGUAAUACAUGUAAUAAUCAAACCCUUCUGAACACCAGAAAUGUAUAUUUUCAUGAGGUUGGCCAUCAUGUUUUUAGCAGAAUUUAGAAAUCCAUCAUCAAAAAAUUGAGUAGGGGAGUUUCUGUUGUGGCUCAGCGGUAACUAACCCAACUAGUAUCCGUGAGAAUGUGGGUCCCAUCCCUGGCCUCACUCAGUGGGUUAAGGAUCCAGCACUGCCUUGAGCUAUGGAGUAGGUCGCAGAUGCGGCUCAGAUCCCGAGUUGCUGUGGCUGUGGUGUAAGCUGGCAACAGAGCAGCUCCAAUUUGAACCCUAGCCUGGAAACUUUCAUAUGCCACAGAUGCAGCCCU
rnacentral:lncRNA from 1 species